rnacentral:rRNA from 1 species
GACGUAGGGCGCGAGCGUUGUCCGGAUUUAUUGGGCGUAAAGAGCUCGUAGGCGGCUUGUCGCGUCGUCCGUGAAAACCCAUGGCUCAACUGUGGGCUUGCGGGUCGAUACGGGCAGGCUGGAGUUCGGGUAGGGGGAGACGUGGUGAAUUCCUGGGUGUAGCGGGUAGUGAAAUGCGCAGAUAAUCAGGAGGAACACCGGUGGCGAAGGCGGGUCUCUGGGACGGUACUGGACGCUGAGACGCGAAAGCGUGGGGAGCGAACAGG